GACGAACGCUGGCGGCGUGCUUAACACAUGCAAGUCGAACGGAAAGGCCCUGCUUUUGUGGGGUGCUCGAGUGGCGAACGGGUGAGUAACACGUGAGUAACCUGCCCUUGACUUUGGGAUAACUUCAGGAAACUGGGGCUAAUACCGGAUAGGAGCUCCUGCUGCAUGGUGGGGGUUGGAAAGUUUCGGCGGUUGGGGAUGGACUCGCGGCUUAUCAGCUUGUUGGUGGGGUAGUGGCUUACCAAGGCUUUGACGGGUAGCCGGCCUGAGAGGGUGACCGGCCACAUUGGGACUGAGAUACGGCCCAGACUCCUACGGGAGGCAGCAGUGGGGAAUAUUGCACAAUGAGCGGGAGCCUGAUGCAGCAACGCCGCGUGCGGGAUGACGGCCUUCGGGUUGUAAACCGCUUUCGCCUGUGACGAAGCGUGAGUGACGGUAAUGGGUAAAGAAGCACCGGCUAACUACGUG
rnacentral:rRNA from 1 species